CGCCCUUAGAGUUUGAUCCUGGCUGAGGAUGAACGCUAGCGGCAGGCUUAACACAUGCAAGUCGAGGGGUAUAGGUUUUCGGAUCUAGAGACCGGCGCACGGGUGCGUAACGCGUAUGCAAUCUACCUUUCACAGAGGGAUAGCCCAGAGAAAUUUGGAUUAAUACCUCAUAGUAUAAUGACUCGGCAUCGAGACAUUAUUAAAGUCACAACGGUGAAAGAUGAGCAUGCGUCCCAUUAGCUAGUUGGUAAGGUAACGGCUUACCAAGGCUACGAUGGGUAGGGGUCCUGAGAGGGAGAUCCCCCACACUGGUACUGAGACACGGACCAGACUCCUACGGGAGGCAGCAGUGAGGAAUAUUGGACAAUGGAGGCAACUCUGAUCCAGCCAUGCCGCGUGCAGGACGACGGCCCUAUGGGUUGUAAACUGCUUUUAUACAGGAAGAAACACCUCUACGUGUAGAGACUUGACGGUACUGUAAGAAUAAGGAUCGGCUAACUCCGUGCCAGCAGCCGCGGUAAUACGGAGGAUCCAAGCGUUAUCCGGAAUCAUUGGGUUUAAAGGGUCCGUAGGUGGAUGAUUAAGUCAGGGGUGAAAGUCUGCAGCUCAACUGUAGAAUUGCCCUUGAUACUGGUUAUCUUGAAUCAUUAUGAAGUGGUUAGAAUAUGUAGUGUAGCGGUGAAAUGCAUAGAUAUUACAUAGAAUACCAAUUGCGAAGGCAGAUCACUAAUAAUGUAUUGACACUGAUGGACGAAAGCGUAGGUAGCGAACAGGAUUAGAUACCCUGGUAGUCUACGCCGUAAACGAUGGAUACUAGCUGUUCGACUUCGGUUGAGUGGCUAAGCGAAAGUGAUAAGUAUCCCACCUGGGGAGUACGUUCGCAAGAAUGAAACUCAAAGGAAUUGACGGGGGCCCGCACAAGCGGUGGAGCAUGUGGUUUAAUUCGAUGAUACGCGAGGAACCUUACCAGGGCUUAAAUGUAGAUUGACAGGUUUAGAGAUAGACUUUUCUUCGGACAAUUUACAAGGUGCUGCAUGGUUGUCGUCAGCUCGUGCCGUGAGGUGUCAGGUUAAGUCCUAUAACGAGCGCAACCCCUGUUCUUAGUUGCCAGCGCGUAAUGGCGGGGACUCUAGGAAGACUGCCGGUGCCAAACCGGAGGAAGGUGGGGACGACGUCAAGUCAUCAUGGUCCUUACGUCUAGGGCUACACACGUGCUACAAUGGGCGGGACAGCGGGGGCCGAGGCAGCAAUGCUCAGGCAAUCCCAAAACCCGUCCUCAGUUCGGAUUGU
rnacentral:rRNA from 1 species